rnacentral:rRNA from 1 species
AUUGAACGCUGGCGGCAUGCCUUACACAUGCAAGUCGAACGGUAACAGGUCUUCGGAUGCUGACGAGUGGCGAACGGGUGAGUAAUACAUCGGAACGUGCCCGAUCGUGGGGGAUAACGGAGCGAAAGCUUUGCUAAUACCGCAUACGAUCUACGGAUGAAAGCAGGGGACCGCAAGGCCUUGCGCGGACGGAGCGGCCGAUGGCAGAUUAGGUAGUUGGUGGGAUAAAAGCUUACCAAGCCGACGAUCUGUAGCUGGUCUGAGAGGACGACCAGCCACACUGGGACUGAGACACGGCCCAGACUCCUACGGGAGGCAGCAGUGGGGAAUUUUGGACAAUGGGCGAAAGCCUGAUCCAGCCAUGCCGCGUGCAGGAUGAAGGCCUUCGGGUUGUAAACUGCUUUUGUACGGAACGAAAAGACUCCUUCUAAUAAAGGGGGUCCAUGACGGUACCGUAAGAAUAAGCACCGGCUAACUACGUGCCAGCCGCCGCAGUAAUAC